CCUGCCCGGUGACGUAAAGUUAAACGGCUGCAGUAUUACUGACUGUGCAAAGGUGGCAUAAUCAUUCGCCUAUUAAUUGUAGGCUGGAGUUUUGCGGCUACCGCUAGACGAAGCUCUGUCUCUCUUUAUUAUUAUUUGAAUUUGACUUUAUGGUGAAGAGGCCAUAAUUUAUUGGUGGGACGAGAAGACCCUAUAGAGCUUUACUUUAAGGGUAAUUUAACUUAUUACUAAAAAGUUUUAGUUGGGGCAACUUUCUUUUAUGUAAAACAAAGAAUGAAUAAUAAAUAAUCUAAUUUUGGUGAUCUAAAAAUUUUUAAUUAAAGGAAAAAGUUACCUUAGGGAUAACAGCGUAAUUCUUCUUGAGAGUACUUAUUGACAGAAGAGCUUGCGACCUCGAUGUUGGAUCAGAAAACCCUAGGAUGUGCAGCAGCCUCUAAGGGGAGGUUUG
rnacentral:rRNA from 1 species